UGUUAGCGGCGGACGGGUGAGUAACACGUGGAUAACCUACCUAUAAGACUGGGAUAACUUCGGGAAACCGGAGCUAAUACCGGAUAAUAUUUUGAACCGCAUGGUUCAAAAGUGAAAGACGGUCUUGCUGUCACUUAUAGAUGGAUCCGCGCUGCAUUAGCUAGUUGGUAAGGUAACGGCUUACCAAGGCAACGAUGCAUAGCCGACCUGAGAGGGUGAUCGGCCACACUGGAACUGAGACACGGUCCAGACUCCUACGGGAGGCAGCAGUAGGGAAUCUUCCGCAAUGGGCGAAAGCCUGACGGAGCAACGCCGCGUGAGUGAUGAAGGUCUUCGGAUCGUAAAACUCUGUUAUUAGGGAAGAACAUAUGUGUAAGUAACUGUGCACAUCUUGACGGUACCUAAUCAGAAAGCCACGGCUAACUACGUGCCAGCAGCCGCGGUAAUACGUAGGUGGCAAGCGUUAUCCGGAAUUAUUGGGCGUAAAGCGCGCGUAGGCGGUUUUUUA
rnacentral:rRNA from 1 species